UACUGGGCUUAAAGCGUUCGUAGCUGGUUUGUUAAGUCUCUGGGGAAAUCUUCCGGCUUAACCGGAAGGCGUCUCAGGGAUACUGGCAGACUAGGGACCGGAAGAGGUGAGAGGUACUCCAGGGGUAGGAGUGAAAUCCUGUAAUCCUUGGGGGACCACCUGUGGCGAAGGCGUCUCACCAGAACGGCUCCGACAGUGAGGGACGAAAGCUGGGGGAGCAAACCGGAUUAGAUACCCGGGUAGUCCCAGCCGUAAACGAUGUGCAUUAGGUGUAUCGGUGACCACGAGUCACCGAGGUGCCGAAGAGAAAUCGUGAAAUGCACCGCCUGGGAAGUACGGUCGCAAGGCUGAAACUUAAAGGAAUUGGCGGGGGAGCACCACAACAGGUGGAGCCUGCGGUUUAAUCGGACUCAACGCCGGGAAACUCACCAGAUAAGACAGCUGAAUGAUAGUCGGGCUGAAGACUCUACUUGACUAGCUGAGAGGAGGUGCAUGGCCGUCGUCAGUUCUC
rnacentral:rRNA from 1 species